rnacentral:rRNA from 1 species
GAUUCUGGCUCAGGAUGAACGCUGGCGGCGUGCCUAAUACAUGCAAGUGAAACGGGUAUCUUCGGAUACCAGUCGCGGACGGGUGAGUAAUACAUAGGCAACCUGCCUUUAUGAGGGGGAUAACCGAGGGAAACUUUGGCUAAUACCGCAUGAAGACUCUAAGGCAUCUUAGAGGGAUAAAAGUUGGGAAACAACGCAUGAAGAUGGGCUUAUGGCGCAUUAGCUAGUUGGUGAGAUAGAAGCCCACCAAGGUAAUGAUGCGUAGCCGACCUGAGAGGGUGAACGGCCACAUUGGGACUGAGACACGGCCCAAACUCCUACGGGAGGCAGCAGUAGGGGAUUUUCGGCAAUGGGGGGAACCCUGACCGAGCAACGCCGCGUGAAGGAAGAAGGUUUUCGGAUUGUAAACUUCUGUUAUAAGGGAAGAACGGAUUGGAUAGGGAAUGAUCUGAUAGUGACGGUACCUUAUUAGAAAGCCACGGCUAACUACGUGCCAGCCGCGGC